GACGGAGGAUGCAAGUGUUAUCCGGAAUCACUGGGCGUAAAGCGUCUGUAGGUGGUCUAAUAAGUCAACUGUUAAAUCUUGAGGCUUAACCUCAAAAUCGCAGUCGAAACUAUUAGACUAGAGUAUAGUAGGGGUAAAGGGAAUUUCCAGUGGAGCGGUGAAAUGCGUAGAGAUUGGAAAGAACACCGAUGGCGAAGGCACUUUACUGGGCUAUUACUAACACUCAGAGACGAAAGCUAGGGUAGCAAAUGGG
rnacentral:rRNA from 1 species